rnacentral:lncRNA from 1 species
CCCCUAUUUAUACUACUAGAUGAGUCACUAAUAGAGAAGGCAUGCUUCAUUUGGAAAGAUAUAUCAAGUCUGCAUAUCACUUAUUUGAGAGUCUUUAAACAGAAGGACUCUUCAGGGUAUGAUACGUCGAUUUCAACCCUCUCAUGCGCACAUGCCUAGAAUGAGAUACAUUUCACAUCUCUUCUGACUUCAGAUCAGCAUAAAAAUUAUCACAUAACACUCUAUUCAAAUAGGAAGGCCAUUAGCAAGUAUCAUCUAAUUUGAAUAAGUGUUUAUAUGUGAGAAGGACUCUUCACCGAAGAGAUGCGGAAGCAGCUUCUCCCUAUCGCACGUGCACACACCC